rnacentral:lncRNA from 1 species
CUUGACAAGCCUGCUGUUUGAGCCAGCCUCACGGACUGGUGAGUUUUAUAGUUCUCACAAGACUGGUGUCUAUUUAGACAAACUUUGCUUCAGGUUCCCUAUUUAAAAACUGGAUGAGGUUUUUGUUUCCAUCUUGUUCUGUGUCCUGAAAGCUUGGCUUUGUGGCCAAUGAAAAUAUUUUCUCUGGCCUCCACCAUCCAGAAGGUGCAUUUACCAGGGUACACCUGGCAGCCAGUCGAAAGACUAGGGUUCCAAGACUUGCAGUCACAAGCAGCACUCUUUGUCCAGCUGUACCAGCUCUCAGGGGAGUUUGUCAUAAAGGGUCCAGUCCAUAAGGGGCUUUGUCAUCUCAGCCUUGGUUGCUUGUUAGUGCUGGAAAAAUCCCAUUCCAGUAGUGCCUGCUAUGUGUCACAGACUAGUGGGUCUGUGACUGGAGGUGUCCCAUGCUCCUGUGGGAGACCAGAGACAUUGUUUUCACUACACCAUCCUUAUUGCCUGUGCAACAAAGGUCUUUGCUUUCUAGACUAUUUUCGAGAGUGAACUUUUACUAAAAAGAAAAAAAAAAAAAUUGACCCCUCAUUGCCAGACUUUUGCCAUCCUGAUGUCCUUGUAACAUGGCAUGGCAACAGUCUGCCCUAACUCAGAGAAAUUAAGAUGGGUAAACAAUGGCUGUAAAUUAAAUAAACAGUCUUGGCUAUGGGGAACGCAAGAUGGCUGCUUGGUUCUUCCUGGCUCCUUGGCAAACCCCAUUUUUCAGUUUUUACAUUCUUCCACCUACUAAAGAAAAAACUAUUUCUGUCCCUAGAGGCUUCCGAAUUCCUCUCUCUGGGUCCUUUGAACACCAGCACCUGAACUUCAUCCAAUUGCCACUCAGUAUCUAGUUGUCUAUAUGUUCUUGCUGUUGUAUGUAUGUUUUCCAGAUAGGUUGAAGCCUUCCUUUGCCACGAAGCUGAUGCCCUCACAAUGGCAAAGAAAACUGUUGGAAAAUGUUUUUCCCACUUAGGGUAUACCUUUCACAGUCUCCAGUGAUCGAGGCUUCCACUUCACUGGGCAAAUUAUACAAGCCUUCACAAAAACCUUGCAAACUUCUUGGAAUUAUUACUGUUCAUAUCACCCUCAAUCAUUAGACAAAGCCAAGAGAGCCAAUGGAAAAACUGGUCUUGUAUCAAUUUUAUUACUAGUCCAGCCAUAGGAACACAAGAAGGGAACAAAGGGGAUUUUCCCCCUCCCUGACAGUUUUGGCGAGCCAGCCAGGAGAAUCAUGGGCUAGAAAACUGCUUUCUCCCUGAGGCUGCUGCAGAUAAGAGAUCCUGGGACCUCUGACACAGAAACUGGCAAAAAGAAAUUCCUCUUAUUAAAUACCUGAAUUCUUGCACCUCAGGCCUAACUUUGGGAGCCAACCUGUAGCAUUGCCUUCUGAAUAGUUCAGCCAUAAGAACGCACAAGGUGAGUGGUCAAGCACGUCAGUGGUCAUGAGGUAAGUUAAAGCAGGUCAGUAAUUAAUCCUUAGACUCUGGUAAGAAAUGCUUAUCCUUAAAGGAAUGCUGAUAUGGGGGAGGAAACAUACCUAUCUUUAAGGGUAUCAUUCUUGGCUCUGGGAUAUUGUAAAUGUUUCAAACAGAGGUACAAUGCAUGCUCAAUGGGCCGUGUCAGGUCUUUCUGGAAAAACAAGGUCAGGCUGAAUUAGUUUUAAACCAAAUGGCUUCCUCAUAUAUGCCAAUAUAUCCCAUUGCUUGUCAUUUACUCAUCACUCACUUCCAGUUGCCUGUUCCUGAGUUGUAUCCUUUAUAAUAAAUUGGUAAACCUAAGUGUUUUCCCAAGUUCUGUGCGUUGUUCAGCAAAUUAUCAAUCCUGAAGAGGGGGUCCUGGGAACCCCUUGGUUAUAGCUAUUCAGUCAGAAGUAUGGGUGGCCCUCUGGGACUCGCGACUGGCGCCUGAAGUGGAGGCAGUCUUGGGGGACUGAGCCCUUAACCUGUAGAGUCUGUGCUAACUCUUGGAAGCUGGUGUGAGAAUUGGAUUGAAUUGUUGGUCACCCAGUUGGUGUCAGAGAAUUGGUUGCUGGUGUUGGGAAGAAAAACCUCACACACUGACAUUUGUGGGAGUGUUUUUGUUUUUCUUUUAGUGCUUUUUACAGAAGCACUGCAUCAACUUUUCCAACAUAUAGAUAAAUUCUAGGUCCUAGUUUGGCUGGCCUUUCCUAAUUUACCACAGAAGUAUGCAUUCCUUCUUCACUUUAGUUCAUCUGCAGGCUUGGAUUCUUCUCUCAGGAAUUUGUCACUGGAGGGAAAUGCUGCUCUAUGUCCCUCCCCUGGAAAACCUGAGAGGCGGCAGUGCAAGAGUAUGUGCUUUCUAGUUGAUUGUUUCUGUGUUUUGACUUUUAAUAUUGAGGAGGGCAACUCCUGGUUAAAAACCUAUGUGUGAUUUUUUUUCAGGUGACCAGAGGCAAUUAGAAAGGCUCCACCUGGCAGCCCUCACAGGGGAAGCUGCCCCCCACAAAGCAGAUUUAGUGCACAGCCUGCGCACUGCAGUCCCUGGAGGGAGGGGCAGUCAAGGUGCCAGGCCAGUCAUGCUCUUUGCACAUUUGCAUUCCUAGCCCCUAUGCCUUCAUUCCUGGGUCUCUUUAUCUGAAGCCUUGGCCAGAGGUCCUCUUCAGGUGCCUCUGCAGAGACCUCCUUAUCUGGAGGAGGAGGAGGAAACCUUGAAGACACUUUUCCCUCUCUGACUCAGGACCCAAUCCUUUUCCACUUCUAGUCCUUCUCUCACCUUCUCUCAACUCCAGAACCCAUAAGACUGCCAGAGCUCUUGGUUUGGGGCUCCCUCAACAGGGAGGCGACCUCUACAUCUGUGCUUAUCCAUCUGACCCUCCACCAGGGGGAAACUGGGACAGGGGAAGGCAGCAUUUUCUCUGGUUUCAGACUCUUGCUUAAACCAUCACAGUAGGUGAUUAGAGGCUUAACUGUCAUUUUUGGCUUUUUGCUUUAAUCGGCUGCUCUGACAACGGACAGCUCAGCUCUCUCUCCCAGCCCAGCUGAGCUCCUGACAAGUCUCAGGCCCAAAUCACCUUAAGCCAAAGGAUAGUUAAAAAUAAAAUCAAGUAACCAUAGUUUCAUUUCAGAAAACAUAAGUGAAGUGCCUGCCGUAUUCCGGGCACUGUAUCAGGCUCUGUGACAUAGAUAUGAACAAACCAUGGUCCCUGCCUUUGAGGAGUUCAUGGUCUGAAGGGGCCUAGACGGUCAACAGUUCAUUUCAACAGAAUGAUUCAAAACUUGACAGAGACCAUGUUUCUAUACCUCAAACACCAAAUCCAGUUCCUGGAAUAAGAGGAGAUGCUCAAUGUAUGUUUACUGAAUGAACGACCAAGAACGUUCAUGUCACCAUCUCAUCCCCAUGCAGAAAGUCUCCUUGUGCUGGACGUCGAGGCAGAGACAGAUUAUAAACCUUCAGAUUCCAAAGACUUCAAGCAAAUGAGUCAUGCUGGGAUGAUCUAAGAAGGGGCAGGAGAUGGCUGCUGGAUGGCAGGAGGAGAUAUUUGAAGAGUUUGAAGUACUGUGUCUUACAGGGAGAACACAAACCCCAUGUGGAGACCCAGAACUGUAGUGGCCCUGCCUCCAGCAUGCUCUACUCUUGUCGGAACCAGAUGUGCAGAAGGUUUAGCUUACAGAUACUCAGAGUUUACGAACAUUGAGAACAACUCCAAAUACUGGAUCUUCCCCUGACUGCCGGGUCCUUCCCUGUUAGGUUUGAUGAAGACAGUACAUAACAAACAAAGAAAUGAACGUCAUCAAAAUAAAAGCAGAAAAAAACCUAUAGAAGGAAAGGAGCAAUCAGAAGAUCUCUUUCUGUGCCUCAGUUCCGGACAGUUUGCAUCGACCACAUCAAUGACCACACUUUCAUCAACUUCACUCUAUGUCAUCUCCAGCCUUGGGCAUUUUAGCCUCGUUAAGUACCUGAAUCUUUGACUUAAUGAGAACCACAGAAAGUUAGAGCUGGAAGGAAUUGGAGAAAUGAUCUUGUUCAGCCCAAUUUUACUAACAAGAAAAUUGACAAGGUAAGCGUUUUGCCCAACGUUUCACAGCAAGCUAUUAUUAGAUCCUAUUCUAGAAGCUGGACCUCCUAAUUCUUAUUCCAGUCUUAUUUUUCUCACUCUUCACUGCAUCUAACUGAAAACAUGGAAAAAUCUAGAAUUCAAUCUUGCUUAUUUUAAUUUUUUAAGACAGGUGUUGUAGUCUGAAUUUUUCAUUAGAAUAGGCGUUCUUAUUCUUAGGUGCCAUGGAAUGUCAAUUAUUAUUAGAAAAACCUGAAAUUAGUGAGGAACAGUAAAAAUUUCAGCAAUACCCAAAUAUCUUGGCCAGCGUAUUCUCAAUUUUCUUGAAAUCUGGUCUCUUUUCUGGAUCUUCCUCCCAGCAGUUCUUUACAAGUAGAUAGACCUGGAAGAAGGAAGGGGUGGGUUAGUUCAGGGGGCCUAUUUUAUCCUCUCUUCUAUGAUGGAAGUACUUGAGGCAGGGACUAUUUUAAAACAUUGCAACUCUGACGAUGAAGACGAGCUCGCCCAGUGGUCUGCAGUGUGUCCUGGGCAUCGCCACCUGUGCAUCCUUGCCUUGCCCUUCCCUUGGGUCCUGAAUUAAUGAAAAGGUGAUACCAAUUUGGAUGCGGCUGGGUUGAUGGGAGAGACAGCAUUCUUUACAGACGUUUGCAGGAUGUACGUUGAGGAGGGCAUAGGAGGGCUCGUUCCUCAGGUGAUUAUAAUGCCCAACUGCAGUGGAGAUGAGAAGUGAGGAAAGGGGAUACAGAGGAAGGGGGAGACACGAGGAAGCCCAUGGACCCAUCAUCUCAUUUGCUACCACUUGUUUGCAGCUUUUGUUGGAUCAAAAAGCUUGGUGAAAACUAUUUGCUUUAAAUAAAGUUUGUUCUUCACUCUGGCCAGAAACAGGAUCACAAAUGGUAUAGAUGCAGUCCCUAUCUGCGUUCUUUGCCUUAAUGAGUCUCUGGAGAGAGGGACCAGACCACAGUGUAGCCUCUGCCUGUGUUCACCACUAGAUGAUGCUCCUGCCUUCUGGACAAUCUGCUGACCGCCUUAGACAGGAAUGGACAGAAGCAAUCGACAAAUGGGCUGACGGAGCACCACAGAGAACAGAUCUGGGCGGAAGGGUUUUACUCCGUUGGAAUUCUCCACUCUGAAAAUCUUCUCUAAUGGGAUAAGAAUAAUUCAAAUUACAAGAAACAACGCAGCGUGAAGAAAUUUUAGUGGCGGCCAGAUUCUGAAUUGGUUCCCCUACCCUGGAUGGGUACCCAGUGAGAGAGUGGCAGCGCCUAGGCCAGCUUUCAAUAGAUGGAUGUUGCGUGAAUAAAUGAGCCCCAAGUGAAGAGGUCUUAUACCCUCUUAUACCCAGGAGGUUACCUUAAGUUAAGGCUACUAACCCCUUAAAACUCAACUCAGAUUCCACUGCCUUCAUGAGGCUUCCUUUGAGCAAAACUCUAGCCCAGCCUGAUACACCCUUUACUCACCCCCCACUCCCAGACAGUUAACAGCUGGCACACAAUAAGUGCUCCAUAAGUGAGGACUGGCUGAAAGGAAUGAGACAUUUCUCCCUGAGAGGACAUCUAACAAAAACUGUAGCUCUUCUCUUAGUAAGAAUCAAAAUAUGUUUGUUGUCCCACUGGGGUAAUUUAGUUCAGGCGUUAAACAGACACAUAUCUCUUGUUGGAGUCAAAAGGAAAAUGGAAAAUUGUAAGGGAAGACUCUUUAAUUAGCAAUAAUACGGACAAUAAUGUCACCUGGUGGUGGUACAUUCAUUGUCUUAGGCUUUUCAGAGCACUCUAACGCUCACGCUGUCAUUUAAUUCUUCCCACACCCCUGUGAAAUGUGUAGUGCAGGUAUGCCAUUCCUUUUGCAGACGAGAGGACUGAGAUGUGGUCACAAACAGAUUGGGGUCUUGGGGAGCCUAGAACUCGGGCUCCUAGAGGGGGCAGAUGAAGGCGUCAGACUUACCAUUCUGGUCCCGGCAGCUCGACGUGUAGAAGGUUUCUCUCCGCAGGAUGAUCUCCUGUGCGAUGAUCCCAUAGCUGUACACAUCCCCUUUCUGAGAGAAGCUGGCGUGGCGGAGGUGCUCCGGGGCUGUCCACAGACCUUUUCUUGGAGGUAAAAUGGAAUUGCAGCCAAAAUUAGUGAUCUUCACCACCAUUCUACUGUCCACCACACAGCUAGUGGAUUUCAGACGCCCGUGGACUUCUAUCUUACUGGAGUGCAGAUAUGACAUCCCCUGUAAUUUUUCAGACAACAGGAAAACAAAGAGGUCUCUUACCUUAGCAAUAUCAUACAAGACAGAGAUCUUAAACUCCCAGUCCAUGAACGUACCAUCAGGGUAGGAAAUUGUGUCGUUUAAAACUUCCUGAACAGGAGAAAAAGGAAAGGAACAAGGAACAUUCGGUGGCUUUCAGCACAAGAAGAUGAGCAGGAGAUACCCAUGGUGUUCCAAAUUCCAGGUUCUUCCCCCAGACCCGGGUAAAGGAAUGGGCAGACACCUCCCUGGAGAGUGGGCUGGAAGAUUCGCCCUGAGCUAACAUCUGCUACCAAUCCUCCUCUUUUUGCUGAGGAAACAUCUGUGCUUAUCUUCCUCUAUUUUAUACGUGGGACGCCUGCCUCAGCACGGCUUGAUGAGCAGUGCUAGGUCUGCGCCCAGGAUCCAAACCAGCGAACCCCAGGCCGCUGAAGCAGAAUGUGCGAAUUUAGCUGGUACACCACCGGGCCGGCCUUGAUAAUUUUUGUUCACUGCUGUAUCUGCAACAUCUAGUUCAGUGUCUGACAUGGAAUAGAUGCUUAAUAAAUAUUUGUUGCGUAAAUGAAUCGAUUGUUCCUAAACAAGGUUAGCCAAGGUUACAGCAUAUUUAUAAGAUGGGAAACAUAUCAUCUUUACUCCGUCUAGGGAAAAACUUUAUCAUUUGUUUCCUCACAAAAGUGGAUUCUGAUGGGAUUUGCCGUGGUCUGAAGCCUAAAGGGAUGGCACCAGGGAGGGGGCUGUAGUUUGCCUGGGCAUAGCCUUUGCUUUGAGAUUCAUGGUAGAAAGGAGCAGAUAAGCUUCCUGUGGGAGCUCGUGCUGCUGUCUGCUCCGAAGGUGAGUAAGCAACUCCAGAAGGGGGCCCAGGACCACUCAGAUGUCUGAAGUUUCCCACCUUAGGGCAGAGAACCAAAAACACUAUGGGCACGAUGCCUACAUGUUGACCGGGCACUUAGGGAGUAAAAGACCAUGUGAAACCCUUUGACCAGGCUCUGUUAUCUGUAUUCUAAAAUUUCUGUCUCACUGAAAUUAAAUGAAUCAGAGUAUGGUCUAGCCCUCAUAUGGAAAACAUUUCUAAUUUUGAAAGACUUGAAAUCAUUAUUAUUAAAAAUGCUUUAUCUGAAUGAUAAAUUUUUUAUUUAAAUGAUCAUUUUUAGCAUCAAUUAGAAUGAUCAUAUGGUCCUUCCUCUAUGACCUUUUGAUAUGAUGCAUUAGAGUAAUAUUUUUUCCAUUGAUGGAAUUAACCAUAUCUGAUUGAAUUAUGCUUUUUAUGUACAACUGGCUUACAGUUACUAGUAUUUUAUUUAUGAUUUUUUCCAUCAAUAUUCAUAAAUAUAGUUAGCCUUUAAUCAUAUUUUAGUAUCAGCUUUAUGCCAGCCUUACUGAAUAUUAGAUGAAUUUAGAUGACGUUCAUGUUUUUGUUUAACU